GGAGGCCAGCCAAUACCCAAGUAUAUUUUUGAGGUUAUCGUUUAUUUGGUAAUUUUAAUCCUUUUAAAACUUUUUGUCCUUGUUUUCAACUUAGUUAUUAAGAAUUGUGCAAAAUUUGAAUUAAGAUCAAUGAUUUAUUGAUUAGUUAUUGAGAUUUAAUUUUGUUAUAAAAAUUAUUAGGAUUUUUUUACAGUUUGGUUUAGGAUUUAGGAUUUGGUUAGGAUUUGAUUUAGGAUUUAGAGUUUGGUUAGGGUUUCAUUUAGGAUUUAGGAUUUGGUUAGGAUUUAGUUUAGGAUUUAGAAUUUGGUUAGGAUUUAGGAUUUGGAUAGGAUUUAAGAUUUGGAUAGGAUUUGGUUUAGGGUUUAGGAUUUGAUUUAGGAUUUGGUUGGGGUUUGGUUUAGAGUUUGGUUUAGGAUUUGGAUAGAAUUCGGUUUAGGAUUUGGAUAGAAUUUUUUUUAGGAUUUGAUUAAGGUUUGGUUUAGGAUUUAGGAUUUAAUUUAGGAUUUAGGAUUUGAUUUAGGGUUUAGGAUUUUAUUAGGGUUUGUUUAGGAUUUAAGAUUUAAUUAGUUUUGGCCUAAAGUUUGAAUGAAGUCUAAUAGGAUUUUAACUAGGAUUAAAUUAAGAUUUAAUUGAUAUGUAUUUGAGAUAUAUUUGUGAUCAUUCUAAUAUUUCUUUAAUAUUUUUUAUUUUUUCAUUAAAAUUUCUUUGAAAUUUCUUUGAAUUUGAUUAAAGCUUGCUUAACAUAUUAUGGUUUAAUUAGAGUUUAGUUAGUAUUCUAUUAGAGUUAGGAUUUUGUUGUUGUAAUUUCCAUUCUACCUUCCUUAGCUAGGUGCCCAGAGAAUUCUCAAGCAAGACUUCAUGUAUUACGACAUCUCUAUAAGUCAUACUCCAUAAUUUUUAAAAUCUAUAGCAUCAACCCUCUUUGCAAUCAUAAUUGCCCCCUCAAAUGUUUGUAGACCUCUUAAUUCUACCUUUUGUUGGACCUUUAGUUUCAACCCUUG
rnacentral:lncRNA from 1 species